rnacentral:tRNA from 8 species
GGCGGCAUAGCUCAGCUGGCUAGAGCAUGCGGUUCAUACCCGCAGUGUCCCCGGUUCAAAUCCAGGUGCCGCUACCA